UACGGAGGGUGCAAGCGUUAAUCGGAAUUACUGGGCGUAAAGCGCACGCAGGUGGCUAAGUCAGUCGAUUGUGAAAGCCCUGGGCUUAACCUGGGAAUUGCAGUCGAUACUACUUAGCUAGAGUAUGGGAGAGGGCAGUGGAAUUCCCGGUGUAGCGGUGAAAUGCGUAGAUAUGCGGAGGAACACCAGUGGCGAAGGCGGCCUCCUGGUACACUCCUGACACUCAGACGCGAAAGCUAGGGGAGCGAACGGG
rnacentral:rRNA from 1 species